UACGUAGGGUGCGAGCGUUAAUCGGAAUUACUGGGCGUAAAGCGUGCGCAGGCGGUUCGUUGUGUCCGUCGUGAAAGCCCCGGGCUUAACCUGGGAACUGCGAUGGAAACUAGCGAGCUGGAGUGUGGCAGAGGGGGGUGGAAUUCCGCGUGUAGCAGUGAAAUGCGUAGAGAUGCGGAGGAACACCGAUGGCGAAGGCAGCCCCCUGGGCUAACACUGACGCUCAGGCACGAAAGCGUGGGGGGCAAACAGG
rnacentral:rRNA from 1 species